UAGCUGUUUCUAUCAGCGACUUACUAGUUGCAUGUACUCCUUGUGUUACUUAAACAAGAAGGUAGAAUCUUCGAAAUCAUAGUCUGAUUAUAUUGUCGAUCAAAUUCCACUCCCAGCAUCUCCAAUGAUUAAUGUUGAACCAAAGCGGAAUGUAUCAUCCAAGAGUAACUAAGUGGUAAAUCAGUCGUUUGUCCAUAUCAUGCCGCCACCAUUGCGAUGAAAUCCAACCGGUUAUGAUACCGCCAUAAGGAUGCCUCACCAAUUAAGAUGGAACUUCCAACGCGACGCCUUCAAGAAGGUUGCAACACUAAUUUAGAACAUCGUCUUCAUCGCUAUUCCAGAAAUAUGUGCUGUCGCCGGCCACCUAGCUACAUCCAAAAUAUGUAUAAUUCAUUGGCUUCCCAAAUUUUAAUAGGAUUGCUUUAGGCAACAAACAAAACAGGUUCCAAUUUCAGAGUAUAAAGUAUUGGAUAUGGGACUUACACGUCACUCUAUUUCUUGCCUUCAUGUUCUUUGUUCACUAUUGGUUGACUACAUCUAUAUAUAUCGAAGUAAUUAAAUAUAUAUAUAGGUUUUGUAUCUAUAGAUACACAUUCAUAUAUAUGCACUCGAUAUAUAUAGACGCACAUCUUCUCUUCCAAAAGCUGGAAUACUCGAUCCUCACAGUCACACAGCUAGCAACGCCGGCGGCCAUGCAACCACUCGCUGCCGGCGGCGGCGUCUCUUGGCCGUUGUACGCCGCCACCGUCGCGGCGGCGCUGCUCGUCACCGCCAUCGUCCUGCGGCUCGCCGCGCGGUCGACGGCGGCCGCCUGCAAGGCACGUCCCCCCGCCGGGUCUCUCGGCUGGCCGCUCGUCGGCGAGACGCUGCAGUUCAUCUCCGCCGCCUACUCCUCCCGCCCCGAGUCCUUCGUCGAGAAGCGCUGCCGCCGGUGAGCACCACCGCCGCCGCCAUGGCACCGGCAGCGCGCGUACGUAGUAGCUGCGUCUGUGGUGCUGAAAAUUUCUCUUGUUCUUGUUGAUUGAUUGAUUCCGUAGGUACGGGAAGGUGUUCAGGUCGCACCUGUGGGGGUCGCCGGCGGU
rnacentral:lncRNA from 1 species